rnacentral:rRNA from 1 species
UACGAAGGGGGCUAGCGUUGCUCGGAAUCACUGGGCGUAAAGGGCGCGUAGGCGGCUUUGCAAGUGACGGGGUGAAAUCCCUCGGCUUAACCGGGGAACUGCCUGUCAAACUGCAUGGCUUGAGACCGGGAGAGGUGAGUGGAAUUCCCAGUGUAGCGGUGAAAUGCGUAGAUAUUGGGAGGAACACCAGUGGCGAAGGCGGCUCACUGGACCGGUACUGACGCUGAGGCGCGAAAGCGUGGGUAGCAACAGG